CCACACCUAAAAACUUUCCACGUGAACCGUUAUAACUAUGUUCUGUGUCUCGUCUUGUCAAAAGAUUUGAGGCUGAACGAAGGUGAGUCUGUGUCGAUUUUUUUUGAUGCGGAUUUGCUGAUGUUMUUUUAAACACCUAUUACUUUAUACUGAACUAUACUCCGAAUACGAAAGUUUUUGGUUUUAACAAUUAACAACUUUCAGCAGUGGAUGUCUAGGCUCGCACAUCGAUGAAGAACGCUGCGAACUGCGAUACGUAAUGCGAAUUGCAGAAUUCAGUGAGUCAUCGAAAUUUUGAACGCAUAUUGCACUUUCGGGUUAUGCCUGGAAGUAUGCCUGUAUCAGUGUCCGUACAUCAAACUUGCCUUUCUUUUUUUGUGUAGUCAAAAUUGGAGAUGGCAGAAUGUGAGGUGUCUCGCGCUGUCUUUUUCAGAUGGUUCGAGUCCCUUUAAAUGUACGUUGAUUCUUUCUUGUGUCUGCGAAUUGCGACGCUAUGCUCUUUGUGAUCGGUUUAGAUUGCUUUGCGCUGGUGGGCGACUUCGGUUAGGACAUAUGGAAGCAACCUCAAUUGGCGGUAUGUUCGGCUUUGCCUGACGUUAAGCUAAGCGAGUGUGGUUUUCUGUUCUUUCCUUGAGGUGUACCUGUCGUGUGUGAGGUCGGUUUGAGCUAUAUGGUUGCUUUGUUGUGUGGUGUAGCGUUUUCAGACGCCUGCUUCGGUAGGUAAAGGAGACAACACCGAUUUGGGACGGAGAGUAGUUUACUCUCUUUUUCACUUUGGACCUGAUAUCAGGUAAGACUACCCGCUGA
rnacentral:rRNA from 1 species